AGGUUUCUCCAACACACCACUCACCUAUCCAAAAAAUGCAGCAAGUAUAUACUUCCUCUCCAUAAGAUCAUCCAUUUCAGGAUAUAGUUCAAAAGUAUAUGUACAUAACAAAAAAUAUAUAAUUUGUAAGGUUGAGUCUAAUAUAUGUAGGGCUAUACCAUAUUAUAAAAACAAAAGAAAAAUAAGGUUCAACACUCAGCUCAAAAGAUAAAUUAGAACUGCUCAAAAGAUAAAUUAACAUGCUAUAGAUCUAAAGCUACCAUUCAAUGUCUGCACUGAUAGCAGAACAAAAAAUACACAUACACUCUUUAUAGUAUCGUAUAUUUUAAGCAUUAAAGGUAUAAAAGAUGGAUUUUAUUGGAAGCUUUAAUGGUAUAAAAAUCAUACCUUUUACCUUUGACAAACGUGAUGAAAGAUUUUAAGCGUUUAAGGUUGAAAACAUAUAUUUGAAGUGUUAUGGCUAGAAAAAUAUGAUUUUAAUCGUCGUAAAACAUACCAAAAGAUGACAAAUCAGACCUUUUUAUCGUAAACGGUGACAAUGAAAGAUUGUAAGCGUGAAAACAUAGAUUUUAAGCGUUAAACCUAGAAAACACAGAUUUUAAUCGUCGUAAAACUUACGAAAAGAUUUAAAAUCAGACCUUUUUACCGUAAACGACGGCAAUGAAAGAUUGUAAGCGUGAAAACAUAGAUUUUAAUCCGGUGUCCAUAUCAGUGUCUAUACUUAUAAUCAAUAUAAGGACAUAACUAAACAUUAAAAGGUAACAUUUGAGUUAAAGAUGUAGGUAAGAAAAAUGGUAAAAUCAAUUUUGCAGAUUUUUUUUCCAAAGAUAGAAUGAAUGGUUAAGUAAAUAUACAAUUAAAAUGGUAAAAUAAAAUCAUCUUUUUGGACUGUCUUUUUGCACCAUAGCUUCUAAUGUUGAUGGAAAGCCACAACAACAUUUAAUCAAACACAUGGUGUGCAUAUAGAAAAUGAAAGUGAUGAGUAAAAUGAAUAAACAAAACAGAAAAAUAAAAUAAAUAAAGAAGAAGAACAACAACUAAAUUAUGUUUGAUAACCCUUUUCUAAAUUCUGAUUGAAAAAUUAAACAAUAAAAAAGAAAGAAAAAUCAAAUAUCUAGAAUGAACAUUUUGUCAAACACAUGGUGUGCAUGUAUAAAAUUGCAAUAAAACAACAUAAAGUUUACGAAAAUUCACAACAACAUUUUAUCAAACACAUGAUGUGCAAAUAUAAAACUGAAGUAGAACAACAAAAAAUUAAAAGAAUUAAAAGAGGAGUAAAUCCAACGCGGAAAAGAAACAAAACAAAUUAAUAAGAGAAAAUCAAAUACCCAUGUAGUUCUUCUUCUUCUUUCUCUCGUGUAGAACAAAGCUUUGAUUUCUUCAACACAAAAUAACGCACGAAAAAAUUGAAACAACAAAUCAUCAAACAAACUUAGUUUUAUAACAAAAAACAAACAAAAAUAAUGAAAAAAAUGAAGAAAUACUAGUGCAUACGAAAAUUUGAAAACGUAACCGCUUCGUACAUGGAUCUUUUUUCUACCGUCUCCCGCAGCCAUGUUUUCUUUCUCCAUAACAAAUCUGGCGAUGCAAGAGAUGAAGAAUGAGAAGUGAGAAGAAUGAGAAAAAAGAGAGAGAUGUUUACGGUAAAGAGAGAUAAGAGAUAGAUUUGAGUUUUUUU
rnacentral:lncRNA from 1 species